CAAAAUCGAGUAACCUUAACUAAUACACAAUCGUGACUGUCUAACACAUGACAAUACUAUUCUUCAACAUACUUUACAACUUAACUUCACAUUCUAUCCCAAGCUGAACUUGGAAUUAUCCUUUUCCUGUAACUGGCCGUAUUCGCCUUAUCUGCAAUGUUUUAUCAUGAUAUAGCAAGGGUGAGCAUGAAAGUUGCCCAACAAGUUUAAAAACAAGGUAAAGAUAUAUCAUGAAAGAGUUUGAAUAAUAAGCUGGCAAUCCUUCACAAUGUAUUCGUGAAUUAGCAUGAACAAAAUUUUGACUGAACAAGUAUUGAACAGGAACAAUAAUAUAUCUGGACCAACUGGUAAUGAAGGUGAUCAGCCUUUCAUACCCGACUUAUAUAUAAAAGAUGUACAGAGUACAAUUCAUAAGCAUAUCUGUCUGAAACCACUCUUAAAGAGUUUAAAUAAAAAGAACUUGAAAAACUUGUCUGAACCAUUGAUUACCGUAACACAAUAUAAUAAGCUUCUCCUGAAGACCUAAUAUUAAUAAUAUAGAUCUCCAAUAUUAGAAUAAUAUCAUCACCGUUAUAAAAUAACUUAAACACAUAAUCCUAUCAGUCUAUACAGCAUAUAAAACCUAUAAUAGAUCUUUCGGUUAGUCAUA
rnacentral:lncRNA from 1 species